ensembl:lncRNA MIR3976HG MIR3976 host gene
CUCUCCAUUAACUCUCUCUCUUUCUGAUUGAGUGUAAGCUGCUAUAUGAAGGGAUCCACAAGACGAAUAAUUAAGGGGGACCUCUGAUCAACAGCCAGCAAGGAACUGAAUCCCUCAGACCCACAACUCACAAGAAACUGAAGCUGAAGCAGAUUCUUCCUCAGUCAAGCUUCAGAAAGAAAUCAUGAGUGACCACUCAGCUCAAGGCUUCUCUGCUGAUGCCAUCCAGUGAGUUUCCUGGCAGCCAUCUUUUUAUGAAAGAAUAGAGGUCAGCCUGACUGCACUUCCAGAUGAUUAGAGCCACAUCAGGAAGCAGUAAGUGGCAGGGCCAUCUCAAGGAAGAGCCACCAGUCUCCAGGGAGUUUAGGUCUUAGAUGUGAAGCCUCAAGUAAUUUGCAGAGAUUGUCUUGCCUGUAUAACACACCCUGUUGUUGCUUUUAUACAGCCAAACUGACAGGGGUUUGUGAAUCAGAAUGAUGGCUUUGCAUUUUAGCUUAGGGAAGAGUCCCCGAAGAGGGAGGAAGAGGGCAGUGGCAAAAGCUUUCUAAAAAUGCCAAUGCCAAAUGCCCAUCCCAGGCCAGUUAAAGGAGAAUCUCUGGGUGGGACUAGGACCUGCUUUGCAGAAAGGAUCUCAUUGAGAAUAGCAAAAGGAAGUUGGGAACCAUUACAGUGCCCAGCUGUAUUGGUAGAGGAGACCAACCACACCCUCCACAGCACAGCACCUGGAGAGGAACUGCUGCCAUGACCAUAGAGGACACCCUCUGGAUACAAUGCCAGACUUGAUGUGGGACUGACCAACCUAUGGACCCCAGGCACCACCACCCAGACCUGCUCAGCACCUGAAACAUUCACAGCCGUGGAGAGAGAACUGUUCACUGCUACCAUCCACACUUCUGGGCCCCUUCAGCAGCAGGGUGACAAGGAAGAGGGAAAUCGACUUGGAAAAGAGGGGACCUCUGACCCAAGAGUUCGGUCAAUGCAUAUGUUGGCAGCCAGCUGCACAUCGCACCAAAUAUGAACUUCAAAUAGAAGAAAGCCUCAUUUGGAAGAAAGCUCAUGCACAGACUGUAAAUAUUUCAGAGCAGAUUGUGUCUCUGUAGAUUAAUAACCAAAAAAUAGAAGAUUCAGAAGAACUAGCAAAUGUGGAGAGAACGGAUGAAAUGGAAGCAGUGUGAACCUAGUGAAUACUUGCCAAGCUGUAUCUCCCCUGAAUUUGUCAAAACAUCAUCUCCAGCAUCUGAGCUAGACCAACCCUCAGUGCUAACAUUGAUGUGAUUAAAGAGUCUGAACUGGGAGCAGAAUUCCUUCAGGUAUUUUGUUAAUAAAAUAAAGCUCUCCAUCUCUCCUUAAAUUAAACAA